rnacentral:rRNA from 1 species
UCUACGGGUGGCAGCAGUGGGGAAUAUUGCACAAUGGGGGGAACCCUGAUGCAGCAACGCCGCGUGAAGGAAGACGGUUUUCGGAUUGUAAACUUCUAUCAAUAGGGAAGAAAGAAAUGACGGUACCUAAAUAAGAAGCCCCGGCUAACUACGUGCCAGCAGCCGCGGUAAUACGGAAGGCCCGAGCGUUAUCCGGAUUCAUUGGGCUUAAAGGGAGCGUAGGCGGGCGUUCAAGUCAGCUGUAAAAUCGCGCGGCUCAACCGCGCCCCGCAGUUGAAACUGGACGCCUUGAGUUCACAACAGGCAGGCGGAAUUCGUGGUGUAGCGGUGAAAUGCAUAGAUAUCACGAGGAACCCCGAUUGCGAAGGCAGCCUGCCGGGGUGCGACUGACGCUGAGGCUCGAAGGUGCGGGUAUCAAACAGGAUUAGAUACCCUAGUAGUC